UACGUAGGGUGCAAGCGUUGUCCGGGAAUUAUUGGGCGUAAAGCGCGCGCAGGCGGCCUUUUAAGUCUGAUGUGAAAGCCCACGGCUCAACCGUGGAAGGUCAUUGGAAACUGAAGGGCUUGAGUACAGAAGAGGAAGCGGAAUUCCACGUGUAGCGGUGAAAUGCGUAGAGAUGUGGAGGAACACCAGUGGCGAAGGCGGCUUUCUGGUCUGUAACUGACGCUGAGGCGCGAAAGCGUGGGGAG
rnacentral:rRNA from 1 species